UACGUAGGGGGCAAGCGUUGUUCGGAUUUAUUGGGCGUAAAGGGCGUGUAGGCGGCUAUGCAGGUCCGCUGUGAAAACUCGAGGCUCAACCUCGAGACGUCGGUGGAAACCGCAUGGCUAGAGUCCGGAAGAGGAGAGUGGAAUUCCCGGUGUAGCGGUGAAAUGCGCAGAUAUCGGGAAGAACACCCGUGGCGAAGGCGGCUCUCUGGGACGGUACUGACGCUGAGACGCGAAAGCGUGGGGAGCGAACAGG
rnacentral:rRNA from 1 species